GUCAGUAUGUCCGAGUGGUUAAGGAGACAGACUCGAAAUCUGUUGGGCUCUGCCCGCACAGGUUCAAAUCCUGUUGCUGACG
rnacentral:tRNA from 1 species